GCAGGCUGUGAGGGAGGCUGUGAGGAGGAGGAGGCAGGCUGUGAGGAAGAGGAGGCUGUGAGGCAGGCUGUGAGGAGGGAGGCUGCGAGGCAGUGCCCCCGCGGGCCGCCCGGAGCUGUCAGCGCCCGGUGCCGUCCUCCCGGUGCCCCGCGGCUUGCCCGGCAGCUGGCUGCGCAGCGCUGCUGCUGCUGCUUCUCCUUUUCCUUUUUUUUCCUUUCUUUUUUUUUUUAAAGGGACUUUUGGAAGGUCUUGAGGCCGGUUCGCGGCAUCGCGAUACUGCAGGACUCGUGGUUUUUGUUUUUUUGUUUUUGUUUUUUUUUCUUUCUUUUUUUUUCCUGAGGCUUAGCGAUAGAAGGGAAAGCCCGUCGGACUGUCCGACCGUUCCCCGUUCGGAGAGGGAGAUGAAGCGCUAACGAAGCGGUUUCUCAGCGCAGCCUGGGCGCUGCCUUCAUCCAGUGCCCGGGCUCACCGGGUGCCCGCCUGUCGGUAGCCCUCGCUCGCCUUCCGUGCUCUGCAGCCGACGAGUCCCGUGCCCCGAGGCUUUGCACGAGCUGCCCGCGGUUCGUCAGCGUACGGGGAAGCCUCGGGGAAGGAGGCGAGCAUGCCCACGGUGCAGCCGCCUGCCUACUUCGGAGCACAUCGUGGCUGUGACGUGCCCUGGCGGGGUCUGGCUGGAAGGCGUGCGGGACGGCACUGACGGGAGAAUAAAAUGCAUCUUUCUGGAUGAAUGUCUAAUUCUUCUCUGUUCAGGCCUUGGGAAGGGAUUGCCUUUUGCUAUUAAUGCCUUCAGGAGUUUGGGUUUGUUUUUGUUUAUCUUUAAUUCUGAUGUAAGCUUUCCUUCAUAGCUGAGAUACCAUUUUCAGUGUGAUAAUGAAACAGUAUCAACAUCCAGCUAUGUUAAUCUAUUCCUGCCCGCCUAUUAAAUGUUAAGAAAGUGACUUAAUAGUUUAGAUAGUUUUGCAAAGCAGGAAAUUACAGACUUCUUACACUUUGUCACUAACUUCAAUGCCUAGAGCAGGAAGAACUGCUAAGAUCCCUAAGAACGUGUUCCAGGAUGCAAACACGUGGUGUUUCUGUUUUAGUUUCAACACUUACAAGGAAAUUGGUUUAAGUGCCUUAAAAAUGCAGAAAAGUUAAUUUUGAUAGAAGAUGAUUAUCAACUCUUAGUUAAGAUACGACUUACAAGUGAUUUUUUUCACAAUCUGGGGAUCAAUCAGACCUUAUUUCUAAGAAUUCAGUGCUAUAGUAUAGUUGCCGUAGAGAAAGCCUUAAUGAAAUAAAGCUUGCCUUGCUUCCUCUGCUGUUUUGGGC
rnacentral:lncRNA from 1 species